GUGGUUGUGGCUCAGAGGUAGAGCGCACACCUAACAUGCGUGAGGCAUUGAGUUCGGUCCUCAGCAUCACA
rfam:Ictidomys tridecemlineatus contig062005, whole genome shotgun sequence.